GGGUCAGUAGGUUGGUCGUGCCACCGGUACGUACUGGUCUCACUGAUUCCUCCUUCCUGAAGAACCGUAAUGCCAUUAAUUUGGUGUUGCGGGGAAACAGGUCUGUUACUGUGAAAAAAUUAGAGUGUUUAAAGCAAGCUAACGCUUGAAUACAUUAGCAUGGAAUAAUGAAAUAGGACGAUCGAUCCUAUAUUGUUGGUUUCUAGGAUUGACGUA
rnacentral:rRNA from 1 species